rnacentral:rRNA from 1 species
GAGCGGCGGACGGGUGAGUAAUGCCUAGGAAAUUGCCCUGAUGUGGGGGAUAACCAUUGGAAACGAUGGCUAAUACCGCAUAAUGCCUACGGGCCAAAGAGGGGGACCUUCGGGCCUCUCGCGUCAGGAUAUGCCUAGGUGGGAUUAGCUAGUUGGUGAGGUAAUGGCUCACCAAGGCGACGAUCCCUAGCUGGUCUGAGAGGAUGAUCAGCCACACUGGAACUGAGACACGGUCCAGACUCCUACGGGAGGCAGCAGUGGGGAAUAUUGCACAAUGGGCGCAAGCCUGAUGCAGCCAUGCCGCGUGUGUGAAGAAGGCCUUCGGGUUGUAAAGCACUUUCAGUCGUGAGGAAGGUAGUGUAGUUAAUAGCUGCAUUAUUUGACGUUAGCGACAGAAGAAGCACCGGCUAACUCCGUGCCAGCAGCCGCGGUAAUACGGAGGGUGCGAGCGUUAAUCGGAAUUACUGGGCGUAAAGCGCAUGCAGGUGGUUUGUUAAGUCAGAUGUGAAAGCCCGGGGCUCAACCUCGGAAUAGCAUUUGAAACUGGCAGACUAGAGUACUGUAGAGGGGGGUAGAAUUUCAGGUGUAGCGGUGAAAUGCGUAAAGAUCUGAAGGAAUACCGGUGGCGAAGGCGGCCCCCUGGACAGAUACUGACACUCAGAUGCGAAAGCGUGGGGAGCAAACAGGAUUAGAUACCCUGGUAGUCCACGCCGUAAACGAUGUCUACUUGGAGGUUGUGGCCUUGAGCCGUGGCUUUCGGAGCUAACGCGUUAAGUAGACCGCCUGGGGAGUACGGUCGCAAGAUUAAAACUCAAAUGAAUUGACGGGGGCCCGCACAAGCGGUGGAGCAUGUGGUUUAAUUCGAUGCAACGCGAAGAACCUUACCUACUCUUGACAUCCAGAGAACUUUCCAGAGAUGGAUUGGUGCCUUCGGGAACUCUGAGACAGGUGCUGCAUGGCUGUCGUCAGCUCGUGUUGUGAAAUGUUGGGUUAAGUCCCGCAACGAGCGCAACCCUUAUCCUUGUUUGCCAGCGAGUAAUGUCGGGAACUCCAGGGAGACUGCCGGUGAUAAACCGGAGGAAGGUGGGGACGACGUCAAGUCAUCAUGGCCCUUACGAGUAGGGCUACACACGUGCUACAAUGGCGCAUACAGAGGGCAGCAAGCUAGCGAUAGUGAGCGAAUCCCAAAAAGUGCGUCGUAGUCCGGAUUGGAGUCUGCAACUCGACUCCAUGAAGUCGGAAUCGCUAGUAAUCGUGGAUCAGAAUGCCACGGUGAAUACGUUCCCGGGCCUUGUACACACCGCCCGUCACACCAUGGGAGUGGG